rnacentral:rRNA from 1 species
UACGUAGGGGGCAAGCGUUGUCCGGAUUUAUUGGGCGUAAAGCGCACGUAGGCGGCCUUUCAAGUCGGAUGUGAAAGCCCCGAGCUUAACUCGGGAACUGCAUUUGAUACUGUUGGGCUAGAGACCGGGAGAGGAUAGCGGAAUUCCCAGUGUAGAGGUGAAAUUCGUAGAUAUUGGGAAGAACACCAGUGGCGAAGGCGGCUAUCUGGACCGGUACUGACGCUGAGGUGCGAAAGCGUGGGGAGCGAACAGG